AACGAACGCUGGCGGCAGGCUUAACACAUGCAAGUCGGGCGCCCCGCAAGGGGAGCGGCAGACGGGUGAGUAACGCGUGGGAAUCUACCCAUCUCUACGGAAUAACGCAUGGAAACGUGUGCUAAUACCGUAUACGUCCUUCGGGAGAAAGAUUUAUCGGAGAUGGAUGAGCCCGCGUUGGAUUAGCUAGUUGGUGGGGUAAAGGCCUACCAAGGCGACGAUCCAUAGCUGGUCUGAGAGGAUGAUCAGCCACACUGGGACUGAGACACGGCCCAGACUCUUACGGGAGGCAGCAGUGGGGAAUAUUGGACAAUGGGCGCAAGCCUGAUCCAGCCAUGCCGCGUGAGUGAUGAAGGCCCUAGGGUUGUAAAGCUCUUUCACCGGUGAAGAUAAUGACGGUAACCGGAGAAGAAGCCCCGGCUAACUUCGUGCCAGCCGCCGCUGUAAGAC
rnacentral:rRNA from 1 species